UCCCAGUUCGGAUCGGAGCCUGCAACCCGGCUCCGUGAAGCUGGAUUCGCUAGUAAUCGCGCAUCAGCCAUGGCGCGGUGAAUACGUUCCCGGGCCUUGUACACACCGCCCGUCAAGCCAUGGGAGCCGGGGGCGCCUGAAGUGCGGUACCGCGAGGGCCGCCCAAGGGCGAGACCGGUGACUGGGGCUAAGUCGUAACAAGGUAAC
rnacentral:rRNA from 1 species